AUUGAACGCUGGCGGCAGGCCUAACACAUGCAAGUCGAGCGAGCGGCGGACGGGUGAGUAAUGUAUGGGGACUGCCCGAUAGAGGGGGAUAACUACUGGAAACGGUGGCUAAUACCGCAUACUGUAGGAUAACCCAUAUGGGAUUAGCUAGUGGGUAAGGUAAUGGCUUACCUAGGCGACGAUCCCUAGCUGGUCUGAGAGGAGGAUCAGACACACUGGGACGGAGACACGGCCCAGACUCCUACGGAGGCAGCAGUGGGGAAUAUUGCGCAAUGGGCGCAAUCCUGAUGCAGCCAUGCCGCGUGUAUGAAGAAGGCCUUAGGGGUGUAAAGUCCUUUCAGUCGGGAGGCGUUACCGACAGAAGAAGCACCGGCUAACUCCGUGCCAGCAGCCGCGGUAAUUC
rnacentral:rRNA from 1 species